GCUGUUUGUGCAAAUUUGAAAUUUUAGCAUCUUGGUAUAGCAUGUUUUAGUGGGUUCCCGUUUUGUAGUCUAGAGCUUUCUUUUUUAAUUUAGAGGGGUCAAUUGUUGCUUAGUUGAUGGCUGGAUGCUAUUGGCUAUUAAAUGUGUUGCCUCUUGGUUUGGCGUUCUGUGCGCCACCGAAUAGUAUUGGUAAUGAACAUUUUAAUGAUGUUGUUUCUGUUAUCUGCCGGUUCCACUUGGUCAGGUGGACGUGUUUCAGCUUGUACUCAAGGACGUCGUGCCCUGGUCUAGGUUAAAGCCUCUAUGGUGGUGGACGGAUGGACAGACGAGACGCCGACGGAGCCUUGUUCUUGGACUUGCGGUGGUCUUUGUCAAAUUCUGCUAAAGAAACAACCUUAUCAGCCACUGAAGCUUCUUUUUCGUAUCAUUCCAGGGAAACUGAUGCAACCGAUACAUGAACAUCUCACUUGGAUCUGGGUUUGUCUGAUGCUGCCAUGUUGCGGAUGGAGGUUGACCUUGCACCUUGGAAAUCAACUAUUGCAGUGCUACCUGUCCACCAUGCCUUUUCCCUGGAACCAUAAUCAAUUCAAGUUGAACAACAGUAUAGUUUACAAAACAAUGAUUGCUGAAGAAGAUGAGGCUGGCCAGAGAUGAGAUUUUGUUUUGCCUUGGUUUUAGAAGGUCGAGGUCCUGGCACAUGCACCUAACCAUGGCUACUGAAUAUAGCCGUUUUGGUUUCCAACUGGGCUGCUGCUGUACUAGCCACAGCCGGCCCUUGGCUUACCUGGCCUCCCGCCUUGGUCCGCGGCGCAACCGCGGUGGUGAUGCUCUGCCUUGGCUACAAGCUAUUCAGGUGGUGGAGAAUGGACAAACGAGACGCCGACGGAGCUAUGUUCUUGGACCUGCAGUGGUAGAUAGCCGUUUGGGACUGACACGACGCCGGAGGAGCAGUGGUGCAUGGAGCGGUCGACGAACAAGUUGGGUGGUGAGAGAGAAGGAAUGGAGAGUUGUGCUGCUAGCAUUCUGUUUGAGGCACCCGGCGCGGCCAAGAUUUUGUACCAAUGUUGUUGUGUAUUGUAGUUUCGCUGAUGGUCAGGCCGUAUCUUGAGUUGAAUUCUUUAUAGGUAUUUAAAUGCUUUAGAGGAUGUUAUGUGAUGUGAAUGUACAUGAGCAUGCACUUGAGAAUUGGAUCGAGUGUUGGAGGUACUAGUUGUUUUGUAUGUUUCCAGCUUCAUUGUAAACAAGUAGGAAGAAGAAAUUGUUUGUGUUGCCAGACAGAUAGCAAGUAAGAACAGGAAGUAAAAACCUCUGAGAUAACAAACACCACAUUAUCGGUGAUAAUUGCAAUAUUUGUAGUAUUAGGUAUCCUCUGUGAUGUAAAUGCCUGGAAAACAGGGAAAUGCAUCCUAUAUAUAGAUUUUU